UACAGAGGGGGCAAGCGUUGUUCGGAAUUACUGGGCGUAAAGGGCGCGUAGGCGGCCUGCUAAGUCGAACGUGAAAUCCCCGGGCUCAACCCGGGAACUGCGUCCGAUACUGGUUGGCUUGAAUUCGGGAGAGGGAUGUGGAAUUCCAGGUGUAGCGGUGAAAUGCGUAGAGAUGUGGAGGAACACCAAUGGCGAAGGCAGCCUCCUGGGCCAAUACUGACACUCAUGCACGAAAGCGUGGGGAGCAAACAGG
rnacentral:rRNA from 1 species